GGGGAAUUUUGGACAAUGGGCGCAAGCCUGAUCCAGCCAUGCCGCGUGAGUGAAGAAGGCCUUAGGGUUGUAAAGCUCUUUUGGCAGGGACGAUAAUGACGGUACCUGCAGAAUAAGCCCCGGCAAACUUCGUGCCAGCAGCCGCGGUAAUACGAAGGGGGCUAGCGUUGUUCGGAUUUACUGGGCGUAAAGCGCACGUAGGCGGAUUGUUAAGUCAGGGGUGAAAUCCCGGAGCUCAACUCCGGAACUGCCUUUGAUACUGGCAAUCUUGAGGCUGGAAGAGGUUGGUAGAAUUCCCAGUGUAGAGGUGAAAUUCGUAGAUAUUGGGAAGAAUACCAGUGGCGAAGGCGGCCAACUGGUCCAGAUCUGACGCUGAGGUGCGAAAGCGUGGGGAGCAAACA
rnacentral:rRNA from 1 species